rnacentral:rRNA from 1 species
GACGAACGCUGGCGGCGUGCUUAACACAUGCAAGUCGAACGGAAAGGCCCCCUUGUGGGGUACUCGAGUGGCGAACGGGUGAGUAACACGUGAGUAACCUACCCUUGACUUUGGGAUAACUUCAGGAAACUGGGGCUAAUACCGGAUAGGAGCUCCUGCUGCAUGGUGGGGGUUGGAAAGUUUCGGCGGUUGGGGAUGGACUCGCGGCUUAUCAGCUUGUUGGUGGGGUAGUGGCUCACCAAGGCUUUGACGGGUAGCCGGCCUGAGAGGGUGACCGGCCACAUUGGGACUGAGAUACGGCCCAGACUCCUACGGGAGGCAGCAGGGGGGAAUAUUGCACAAUGGGCGGAAGCCUGAUGCAGCAACGCCGCGUGCGGGAUGACGGCCUUCGGGUUGUAAACCGCUUUCGCCUGUGACGAAGCGUGAGUGACGGUAAUGGGUAAAGAAGCACCGGCUAACUACGUG